rnacentral:rRNA from 1 species
CCAACUGUCCCUAUCUACUAUCUAGCGAAACCACUGCCAAGGGAACGGGCUUGGAAAAAUCAGCGGGGAAAGAAGACCCUGUUGAGCUUGACUCUAGUCUGGCACUGUAAGGAGACAUGAGAGGUGUAGCAUAAGUGGGAGACGGUAACCACUCCGUCGCCGGUGAAAUACCACUACUUUCAUCGUUUCUUUACUUACUUGGUUAGGCGGAGGGCGUUCGUCCGGGAUCUCCCGGCGGUACGGUCUUCUCGCGCCAAGCGUUCAAGGGUUGCCGUCGGCCAGGCGUGGCGGGAGCGUCGGGUGCGUAACCAGCGUCAGCUGGCCGCUGCUCGGCGCGACCUUGCCCGUUCUGAUACCGACGACAAACACUCCCUAGCGUGAUCCGAUCCGAGGACACUGCCAGGCGGGGAGUUUGACUGGGGCGGUACAUCUGUCAAAGAAUAACGCAGGUGUCCUAAGGCCAGCUCAGCGAGGACAGAAACCUCGCGUAGAGCAAAAGGGCAAAUGCUGGCUUGAUCCCGAUGUUCAGUACGCAUAGGGACUGCGAAAGCACGGCCUAUCGAUCCUUUUGGCUUGAAGAGUUUUCAGCAAGAGGUGUCAGAAAAGUUACCACAGGGAUAA